rnacentral:rRNA from 1 species
CCCUUAGAUGUUCUGGGCCGCACGCGCGUUACACUGAUGCAUUCAACGAGUUUCUUCCUUGGCCGAGAGGCCUGGGCAAUCUUUUGAACGUGCAUCGUGAUAGGGAUAGAUUAUUGCAAUUAUUAAUCUUGAACGAGGAAUUCCUAGUAAACGCAGUUCAUCAAACUGCAUUGAUUACGUCCCUGCCCUUUGUACACACCGCCCGUCGCACCUACCGAUUGAAUGGUCCGGUGAAGCCUCGGGAUUGUGGCUGGUCUCCUUUAUUGGGGGUCGGUUGCGAGAACUUGUCUAAACCUUAUCAUUUAGAGGAAGGUGAAGUCGUAACA